rnacentral:lncRNA from 1 species
GAUUGUCGUCACGUCCCGUUAUAACCCUAAACAACAUGGAUGUAACAAAGCGUAAUGGCUGUGGUUCUUUACACAAAUAUUAAAGUUUAUUUUUGGACAUAAAGUGACUGUGAGUGUAAUAGAGUUUAAUAAAGUACUAAUUUUAGUGAAUAAUAUCAAACUUGUUCAUUAGUGUAGUACUUGAGGAAUAUUUUUGAAGUGAAAUAGUGUGUAUUAGUAAUAGUGACAUUUCUCUAAAUAGAGCUUUCCUUUUUUCAAUUUGUUGCGAUAGUAAAGAAAGAUGGUAUAAACUUUAUCCGCACGACUGCAAUUUUUCUACAUGCAUUAAGUUGCAAAAUAUUAAUUUAGUUUGAAGAGGAAAGAAAA